UACGGUGAAUACGUUCCCGGACCUUGCACACACCGCCCGUCAAGCCAUGGGAAGCCGGGUGUACCUAAAGUCGGUAACCGUAAGGAGCCGCCUAGGGUAAAACUGGUGGCUGGGGCU
rnacentral:rRNA from 1 species